GACCCACGCCGGUCCCAUCUGUCACGUAAGCCAUUGAUUAAACGAACAGUGGAAGCCCCCUCCUAAGGGGAAGGUCGCCCGUUCGAAUCGGGCCGGGGUCACCA
rnacentral:tRNA from 2 species